rnacentral:rRNA from 1 species
UACGUAGGGGGCAAGCGUUGUCCGGAUUCAUUGGGCGUAAAGAGCUCGUAGGCGGCUUGGCAAGUCGGGUGUGAAACCUCCAGGCUCAACCUGGAGACGCCACCCGAUACUGCCAUGGCUAGAGUCCGGUAGGGGACCACGGAAUUCCUGGUGUAGCGGUGGAAAUGACGCAGAUAUCUGGAGGAACACCGGUGGCGAAGGCGGCAUCCUGGACCAAUACUGACACUGAGGAGCGAAAGCCAGGGGAGCAAACGGG